AAAUUGAAGAGUUUGAUCAUGGCUCAGAUUGAACGCUGGCGGCAGGCCUAACACAUGCAAGUCGAACGGUAACAGGAAGCAGCUUGCUGUUUCGCUGACGAG
rnacentral:rRNA from 2 species